rnacentral:lncRNA from 15 species
AUGUUAGCCAGCCACCUCUUUUUUAAAGAACUGACUGGAAUACUACAUGAAGCCAGACACUGGUUUAUUACUUUAUUGUUUUUACUGGAGUUAGUGCAGCUGAACUUCGGGAGACACUGGAAGGACUUUAUCCUGAGACCGCCAACGGCCAACUUCAGUUAUUUAAUGUUAAAUGCACCCUCCCAACUUUUUUCAUCUGAAGUUUCCAUCCUUGUCCUCCCCAACAUAUCUUCUCCAAUCCAUGUCUUUCUCCUUUCCACCCUUACUCACCCUCCUCCUCUGUUGCUGACUCCUCACCCGUCCGUUCCCUCUCAUCCUUCUCUUUUAUUCUCUUAGGUCCACUUACCUUCUCCUUCUCUAAACCCCCCCCCCCCCCCCUUGCUUCUCCUCUCCCAUCCCAACCUUGCAAUGCUGGUGUUUAUGCUUCAGACAGAAGAAAGGUAAGGUAAAACUAGGAUAAUAUUUCCCCUAACAUACUUACUGCCGGGUAAACAUCCUCCGACAGAUGUCGAGUGUGGGCCUUAUCGGGGGGGUAGACGAGAGGGCCAGGGGGUGGGGAGCAUUCAGGUAAAGUUAGCAGGCUGCUUACCUCUACCUGGCACUGACCAUCAGUAUCACCAAUUUACCUAGACACUUUGGCUGAUGUCUGGUUUGUGUUCAUUCUGCAAAUAAGUGUCUGUACUUGGCCAAAGAUUGUUUGUUAGCUUAAGAACAACCACUCUCUAACACUACUCUACAAUGGCACGUAGACGACCAGCAGAGAGGUGAUUCUUCUUAAUAUGUCAACUAUUUACGUUGCUGUCAAUUGGGAUCUCCAGAAAGUAGCUCUAGGAAAGUAAGGUGCACAAGACUAAGUAGGCUAACCUGUCUUGACCGUGUCAGACAUAUUUAAUCAACGUUUCAUAUCUUAUGCUUCUCAUCUAAUUUUCUGGUUGUAGCAACAGUUGUUGAAAUUCAGUAAAGCUACCACUAAAAACUGGAUUCAGAAGGAUUCGGUUUUGAUAAGCCGAUUUACUGGAUUUGGAUACUUGAUAUUGAAGUACUUUUGAACCGCAGCCCUCGGAGAGGUUGAGGAAACGUGAAAGGAAGAGUGGCUAGAGUAGUAAGGAUGAAAUAAAUAGGAUAUUUCUGUGUACAUGUAUGCAUCAGAGACAUAUUACAUGCCUCUGUGAAACAAAUGCAGGCGAGAGCUUUGUGCGCAGCAAGCCUCCAAACGGCAGCGAAGACAUGAGAAAGCCAGCGCUGCUCUCCUCGCAACGCACAGCUCCCACGCUUUCUCUGUCUACCCUCUCUCUCUCUUUAGUUAGAUAUGCCACUUGCUGUGUGCUUUUAUCUAAAUGCACCUAAGGGUGUGAAAACAUGACAAGAUUUUGUUAAGAUUUGGCCCCAAUUAAGCAGCCUCACAUGCAUUUCAGUGAUCCGCAGUUUACAACGGUUUCCUCUCUGCACCCUGAGCUGGAAGAUCUGGCUCGGAGGGGGGCUGUGUAAUUAUUUCGGUAAUCCAGAAGAACUCUUUUUCUUCUUUGUACAUUUUUAAUAUGGCGAGGACACGCAGAUAUCAAACCACACUCUAAUGCCAUAACUCGUAGCAUGCCCUCUAACUAUAGAUCAGGACCUUAAAUAAUGAAAAGUUGUGAAAUUGUUAUAAAAAAAACUGUCUGUAUUCUGCUUGUAUGUUAGUAGAUAUUUUUUUUAAACUUGUAUAUUUUUGCUUCCUUUGCUGUCUUUUUUUUUUCCAUUUGCGUGUAUGCCUGUCUCUGCUUGUGACUGAGUGUCUUGUCAGUCGGCCUUUUUGUCUGUCAACUUAUGUGUGUGCUAGUGGGUCAGUGUGUGUGUGUGUGUGUGUGUGUGUGUGUGUGUGUGUGUGUGUGUGUGUCAACUUGUGUGUGUAUCUGCUUGCCUCUGCUGCAUUUUCAUCCUUAGACAGCUCUCCAUUCAGCCCCUGUAGCAUUCUUGCAGCCCAGGCAACAGAAGAGUUUGACUCCUCGAACUUCUGAUCAAAGCAAAUGGGGGAUGAAAG